UUUGUCCAAUACACUGGUUUCACAUAUUUUUUAUUCGUUUGCACUCCCUCAGGGCAGAUCUUGAGGCCUUUUUACCGAUUAACUUUUUUGUUUAUUUGGCGUGUACUGACAAUAUAACAAUUGUAUGCAACAAACAUACAAGGUUUUGUUACUUGAGCAACUAGCAUGCAACACCAGUUUCAUGGAAGAUUUCUCAAUCCUAAAGUUAAUCAAGUCAAGCAAGUCCCUCAGUUAAGGUGCUGGGCCUGCACUCCAGUCUACGUAUGGUAUUAGGCCUUUAUUUUUACUGUAUGGCAUUACUGCUUUGAGAAGUAUAUUUUUAGUCAGGGGCGAGACCUAAAAACAUAUCUGGUUUCUUUCCAAAGUCUGAAAUGUUUAGUUUGUUUUUUAAUCUCUGUACUGGGAGCAAAGCCUGCAGAAAUGGCAUGCUAAGUGAGAAGCAUUUAAACAACUUGUAACAGCAUACAAUUCACUAGGUCAGAAUGUUCAAUUUAAAAGCUGUGUUUUCUAGGCCCUUAAUUUUAUCAGAGCUUUAAAUAUAGGAUAAAUGCUUUUAUGCCCGUAGAAGAUGCAAUUAGAGUUCCACCAUUUAACAAGAGCCAGAAACAGCAAGAAUUUCUGUGGCCAUGGCUAGGUUUUGCCUUCUAAUUGCAUGCUUUCUCUUCCCAGCUCCACCCAGCAUGUGUGGCAGUGAAGCCGACCAUAUCUAAAGCUAUGGCAAGGAAACCAAAUGGGUGUGGUCCCAGCUAAGCCCAGCCACAUCUCUGCAGGGUGCUGACUGCUCUGGGAGGAGGAAAGCAUGAAACAGGAACAAUAGUUCUGUGUCCUUUGCAUGAGUAACAGAUGUUUUGAAAGAGCUGGAAGAGAUCAAGGGAGCCCUUAUCUGCAUAUGAUGUUCACAAAGGGCCUGCUGGAACAUCCAAGUCCAGUCUGCACUUGUGAAGCACCUGCUCUGCAGGUAAGUUUUCAAAAUAAAUUUGUUUCUUUCAGUGGUCCUGCAAGAUACAGAUCUGGAGAGAAAACUGAAAAAAACAAACCCACUGCAGUGUCAUAAAGUAUGUUUCUCAUCUUCUCUAAGGAUGAAACAUCUCAGUGAUAAAAUACAAAAAGUUGAUAGAUGUCAGCUUUGUAUGGAAAUUCUAUGGACUAGGAUGUCAAUUCCCACAUUUAUUCAAAAGGAACCUGCAUGAUGUUUCCAUAAUGUGAUGUCUAGCUCACAUGUGCUGUGUGGUAGCAGUGACCUUCUUUCUGCUCUGGAUUGGUAGUCUGGCUACAGUGGAAGGGCUUAGAGAGAGGGUUGCAAGCGAGGGGAGCGCUGCAGCAUGUAGUCCUGUGGGAGCGCACACUUGCUAACAGGAUCCUCUGCUCUCGUGACGUUCUUCCUGUGCCACAGCAAGGCAGACUUCAUGUGGGGAUCUGAAGGGUGGAAGUUGACAGUGUAAAAAGUCAGUGCAAAACAUGAGCCUUCUGCAAUUAAUAGGAAUUUGGAAUGGGCACCUCAUCAAGGUGAUUUUUUUAACCUUAUAGGUAGUAUAGGCCUGUAGUUUUUAUGUAAACUGGAUCUGUUGUCCUUAUUAAGGACAAAAGGGUGAAAGAGAAAGCUUAAGAAACUGAGCCAGGUGUUUCUCUCCAAUUCCUUGGUGAAAUUGCCUCUGCCCUGAGGUAACAGGGUCAAGUGUCAAGAUUUUAUUGAAAUAAUAAACAAGAAAGCAAGAGUUAAAUGUCCA
rnacentral:lncRNA from 1 species